rnacentral:rRNA from 1 species
UACAGAGGUCUCAAGCGUUGUUCGGAUUCAUUGGGCGUAAAGGGUGCGUAGGCGGCCCGGUAAGUCGGGUGUGAAAUCUCGGAGCUUAACUCCGAAACUGCAUUCGAUACUGCCGUGCUUGAGGACUGGAGAGGAGACUGGAAUUUACGGUGUAGCGGUGAAAUGCGUAGAUAUCGUAAGGAAGACCAGUGGCGAAGGCGGGUCUCUGGACAGUUCCUGACGCUGAGGCACGAAGGUCAGGGGAGCAAACGGG